UAUUUUUUUUUUGCACUGGUGGGUAGCACAAGGAGAUCUUGCACGGCAGUCUUUUGUGAGAGGGAGCUUCACUGUCUUUUUGUUGCUUCGAAGGGAAGAGACCAUGCAAGCCAAGGCCCUUCUCCAAGGCUAACACCUCCAGAAUAUUACUCAGCCAGUGUACCCUACAGUUUUCCUAGUAAGGAGCCCCUCACAAAGAAGGGGAUGGGACCAUCUUCUCCUCCCGUCCCUGGGUUUUCUGACUGCUGCAGCUGGUUUCAUCUGUCACCAUGUUGAUCCAGCCCCAUGGAAAGGAAACUCCACCUGUAAUUCCUGUAAACCUGGAGAAGAGGAAAUUCUGCAAGCCCAGAAACUCCAAAGGAGGAGAUAUAUUUAAUAUAGUAAAUAUGGAGUCACCUGAAGGUGCUGGAUAAUGCACUGGACUCUCUAUGCUUCAGCUACAUCAUUUCUUUAGAUAAGAUAUAAGGAACAGAUUAAACCAUUAUUUGGGGGAAACCAUUUAUUAGAUUUCUUUGACAGAAUGGACAGAUCCUGGUUGAGCUGUGGCUGAAAAGUUUAGCUUGCCUAACAUUUCUGAAGAGAAGCUUGAACUUGUAUCUCCAAAAUGGAAGUAUGACAUCUUAACUGCUUUGGCCUUCUUCACAUGCUAAAUGGAGGAUAGUGAAAUUAAUACCAGGCACAAUUAAAGGAAUAUUAAAGCURGUUUUGAUAGUAAGGAACAGUUAAAAGGAAAUAUUAUAAAUCUUUAGCCUGGAACAAUUAAAACCAGUUUGUUCGCAGUUGUAGGAUAUGUGUUUUUGGAAGGUACUUUGUGCAGCUAAAGCCUGGACUAGAUGAUUGUAGCAAGACUUAUAUAUUCCCUUAAAAAAUCUUUUUCUUUUUUUCCAAAAGCAGGAGAAAAAUCUUACCUGUCUUCUCAACGAAGAUGAGUUACAAGGAGAGAUGGUGUCUAGUGUUAUGGUCGUAACAGUGGCAAGCAGUCCCAUGAUGUCUAUUUAAGAAGGUGUCCUUUGAAGAGGUCUCUCUCCAAGUGGGGAAUCUGUCCCUCUUGGCAACAGAAAUGCAAUUGGCUUCACCACGUAGCCAAGUGAACUUGAGCUCAAACAGAAACACCGCAAUCAAAGUGAAAUGUAGGUAUAGCCUAAAAGGCUUCAGUCCUACUUGGAUGUCUUGGUGAGAAAAAGCCACUUGGAAGAGGUUUUCUAUUCAGUGAUGUAGACAYAUCUAUUUGGGAAAUUAUUUGGGAGAGGCAGUAUGGAUCAAGCAGCAAAGAUGUUCCUGUAAAAGGAGUCAGUUUGAUAACUUUUCUAAUUAGAGUAAUGGCUAAGCAUUAGAAAAUAUUAUUAGGGAAGAUGGUGGAAUCUCUGUUCAUUAAUUUAAAAGAAUAAAAAAAUAUAUCAGGAUUGAUCUCGCAUUGUGGGUAGGGUCUCUUUUGGCACAUAUUUAGUCCAUAAGCUGUACGAACAGGUAACUUCUUUAAGGAGAUAUUCUGUGCAGAUAAUGAACCUCUAUGAUCUCAUCUCUUAACAGUGCAGACCAGAAGUCUUAAUUAUUUUC